rnacentral:rRNA from 1 species
GAUGAACGCUGGCGGCGUGCCUAAUACAUGCAAGUCGAGCGAACAGAUGAUGAGCUUGUUCCUCUGACGUUAGCGGCGGACGGGCGAGUAACACGUGGAUAACCUACCUAUAAUACUGGGAUAACUUCGGGAAACCGGAGCUAAUACCGGAUAAUAUAUUGAACCGCAUGGUUCAAUAGUGAAAGACGGUUUUGCUGUCACUUAUAGAUGGAUCCGCGCCGCAUUAGCUAGUUGGUAAGGUAACGGCUUACCAAGGCAACGAUGCGUAGCCGACCUGAGAGGGUGAUCAGCCACACUGGAACUGAGACACGGUCCAGACUCCUACGGGAGGCAGCAGUAGGGAAUAUUCCGCAAUGGGCGAAAGCCUGACGGAGCAACGCCGCGUGAGUGAUGAAGGUCUUCGGAUCGUAAAACUCUGUUAUUAGGGAAGAACAAAUGUGUAAGUAACUAUGCACGUCUUGACGGUACCUAAUCAGAAAGCCACGGCUAACUACGUG